CUUAUCAUUUUUGCAUUAAUGACUUCAAAACUAGUAAUUUUUGUCUUCGGUAUGUACGACUUAGAUAAUAUGAAAAAUCACGGAGCAACUGUAAAUCCAAAACUAAAAAGUGGCUCCUCUGUGGCUUAGAGGACAAUCAGCUUCCAUUCAGGCACCCGACUGAGAUGACACGCCCAAGAGCAUUCACUAUAUGAGGUUCCAGUGUAACAUAACAUUUAGCGGCAUUAAUUCAAAACAUCACUAGAAGUUCAUUUAUAAAAUUGUAGCUUGCUUUCAGACUCCAUUUCCAUGAGGUUGUGUGUCUGGUAAAGGUAAACUAGCUUGAGGGUUAAUUUAGUUAAAGAAGAGCAGGGUGUAUUAUUAGCUCUGCUCUGCAGGGCUUUCUGGUUUCCUUUUGUUUUUAAAAUCAAGACUUGCUCUCCUUGCAUACCUCAGGGGGAGAUGGGUUGCUUAGUAACCUGCACUGACUGGGGGCUGUUGCUCUCAGAGCUGUACCCAGGAGGAACCGGCAUGUGAAUGAGAUGGCUGUCAGCAACAAGACGCUCAGAUUUCCCUAUACGGAGGGCUCUAAGGGAACAUACCAGAACUUCAGAGCCCCUGGUAUUCUGGCUCACUUGAAAUUGUGCUCUAGCCUAUUACAUAUAUUUUUUUUUCCACACAUAUAAUCAUUUGUUUGCAGUCUGGAAAUAUAAAACCACUCAAGAAAUGGAGGACAAACUAUUGAGAGGAGACUGGACGCUGCGAGGCCCAGGCCAGUGUUCUCAGUGGAAGCGAGCAGGGAGGAUCUGGCAGCAGAAGCUUAGCAACGAGGAAGACCCUCUUUCCAGAUGUCCUAGCUCCCCUUCCUCAGUACUUUUUAAAAUAGAAGUUCCAGUAGAAGGUACACAGUGCACGGAGCAGCACCAUGAGAAUGAAGCGCCCUGCUCUUCACUUAUCCAUGGUUUCAGUCAUCCGUGGUCAACUGUGGUUCUGAGACAGAUGGUCCUCCUUCCAACAGAUCCACAGAAGCUCAGCAGUAGCCUAACACUACGUCACCAGGCAUGUCAGUCAUCUCACAUCAUCACAAGGAGGGUGAGUACAGUACAGUAAGGUGUUUUGAGAC
rnacentral:lncRNA from 1 species